rnacentral:tRNA from 1 species
GUGGGCGUAGCUCAGGGGUAGAGCACUGGAUUGUGACUCCAGCGGUCGUGGGUUCAAAUCCCAUCGUCCACCCCA